ensembl:lncRNA
AUGAGGGCGCUCACAGGACGAGUGCAGAAUGAAUGGAGGUCAAUAUAUACCCCUCAAAGGAGAGUCCACAAUCUAUUAACUCCACUGAACGACAACGAUCUGGAUGAAACUGUGAUCCAAAUUCUGCAGCAUCAUCCCAUGAUGCCCCAACAUCAUGGUCACAAAAUGAUGUUGGGGCACCUCAGUGCACAAGGCAUCCGCAUACAGAGACAACGUGUGCAGGAAUCCAUGGGGCGUGUGGAUUCUCAGGGAGUUUUGCUGCGCACCCUUCAGCUAAACCCACGAAGGCGCAGGAGGUACUCUGUACCAGCGCCAAACAGUUUGUGGCACAUCGACGGAAAUCACAAGUUAAUAAGAAUAGAGAGGCUCUGGAGAUAUGUUUACACCGGAGUGCUUGAUCUCUUCUACAGCAUCUUUAACAACCUUGAGAGAGAAGGGCUUCUAAAUCCUGACAGCGAAGUUCAUGUGUUUGCUCUACAUUGGUGCUUUCUGCCUCACGUUCAGAAGCACCUUGAGGUUUUCUAGCGUGGCUGGAACUGCCACCAACUGAGCACUGAGGGAAAUCAGUCCCCACUUCAGCUGUGGUCUCGCCAUGAACAUGAGGCACAGCAGGACCUCAUGCAGGUUUGAAUUUAUUAUUUUUCUAUGCCCUACAUAGUAUGUCUACAUUCUAACCACCUCAUCUGAUAUUGUACAAUUACAGUGUUUCAAUUGUUAAUCCAGGUACAGACCAUUCAAAAGUCCUGUACUGCACACCUUUAUCAGUAGAAUAUUGUAAGUUAGAUUGAUAUCUAGGAACUAAAUGGAGAAUUAAAUUUUUAGUUCUUGCUAUAAUGUUGGGAUUAAACAAGGAGCAGUAAUUUGUGGUAAAUAAACAUUAUAGCUCUCUCA